UUGAAGGCGAGGCGGCAAACAGAGGCGAGGAGAGCCGAGUGAGGAGGUAAGAGUGACGGGGAGGUUUGUGGAGCAAACUGCGCUGCGCUCUGCAGGGAGGCGAAACAAAAGCGAAGAUUAAAAGUGGAGAAACUGAAGGCCUUAAUGCUCCCAGAGGAGCGGGGGAGGAGGAGGAGGAGGCGGAGGAGGCGGAGAGGAGACACACCCGAGAGCCACUUUCACACGUCUGACCUUUGACCUGUGAGCUGAUAAUCCUAUGGAGCUUGUUCAAGAUGCAGAGACACGCUCAGAAAACAGAGGUCCCGAAAUCCGCAGAUGCCUCAGCCGCUCAUCAUUAUAAUGCAUCGUCCUCACACACAAGGUAAAUCAUCAUGAGCCACAAACCUUCUCAGGAGCAGGUGAAAGCCUGAGUUUAUACUAUUUUUGUUCCUGAAACACAGUUUUAUGCUGUUCAUUAUUUGUCUUUGUCCAAAUAAUGAAUAAAUACAUUUGCAUGGGAAAAAAAAGAAAGAAAAUAAUGUGGGCAGGUAUGAUCACUCAUAUUACUAGUUGUGUUUAUAUUUAUUAAUUUCCCAAAUAAAUCCUACAUGAUAUAAAUCAUUUACAGAUACAAAUAGUUUUUAUAAACAGCCAAUCAAAUCGCUGGAAAACCAGAGUCAUCACCCUAUGGAUCUUUUGUUAAAAUUCUUCUACUUGUUAUAUUCUUCUAUUUAUGUUAUAUCAUUGUACCUCAGCAUUAUUUCUAUCCUAUUCCUAUGUGGACUUCAGAGUAAAUACCAAAACACUGCGGUACCUCUACAUGACACAUGCCCUCACCCCUCUGCUACUCUGUGCCUUGUCAUAAUCAUCCUGCCUAACAUCCAGACUUUCUCCUCUUGGUAUUUUCUACAAUACACCAACCUUUUACAGCUUUUACCUAUAGCACAAUGUUGCUGUUGUGUUUUUUUUUUUUUUAAACGUCUGAGAAGCAGAAUUGUGUGGCACUGAUCGGCUUAAUCAGCAUGGUGUGAACUCCUUUACGGCAGAAGAGGCAGGGGGUCAGCAUGUAUCUUUAACAGUUUUCAAUUAGAGGAACAUUUGCAGAAAACUAAAAUCAGUGAGCUGAUAAGAUUUAAAACAUGAACGGCUGAAAUCGACCAAACACCGACACAGGGGGAGCCAAGAACAAGAAAGAAGAGAAAAGCGUGGUGUCGGUGCUGACUCAGCGUUCACACGCUCAGAACUGUUUUACAUUUGUGUGAAAGUAAUGUGAAUAAUAAAAAGGUUUACAGUGUCUUCUUCUGUUGUUGUUGUUGUUUGGUGCAUUAUCUCAGCGAGAACAGUGUCCAGAUAAUAAGCCAGGAAACCUGUGUGUGGUUAAACACUCCUCCACUGCCGCUGCAGUCGCCACUGAGCCUCUAAUUUGUGACAGAUUAA